rnacentral:rRNA from 1 species
AUUGAACGCUGGCGGCAUGCCUUACACAUGCGAGUCGAACGGCAGCACGGGAGCUUGCUCCUGGUGGCGAGUGGCGAACGGGUGAGUAAUACGUCGGAACGUGCCCAGUAGUGGGGGAUAGCCCGGCGAAAGCCGGAUUAAUACCGCAUACGACCUACGGGUGAAAGCGGGGGACCGUAAGGCCUCGCGCUAUUGGAGCGGCCGAUGUCUGAUUAGCUUGUUGGUGGGGUAAAAGCCCACCAAGGCGACGAUCAGUAGCUGGUCUGAGAGGACGAUCAGCCACACUGGGACUGAGACACGGCCCAGACUCCUACGGGAGGCAGCAGUGGGGAAUUUUGGACAAUGGGGGCAACCCUGAUCCAGCAAUGCCGCGUGUGCGAAGAAGGCCUUCGGGUUGUAAAGCACUUUUGUCAGGGAAGAAAUCUUUCAGGCUAAUACCCUUGGAAGGACGACGGUACCUGAAGAAUAAGCACCGGCUAACUACGUGCCAGCCGCCGCGGUAA